ensembl:lncRNA
UGGAAAUGCAUACCAUUCGCAUUCUUUAUGUUUGUCUCAUUUGCACACACACAUUAGAUACACGUUUCCAUCUUCAUUGUCAAACAUGUGCGUACACAUGUUGCAUGUGUGUUAUGCUUCAUAACUCACACACUCUGGACAUCUAACUGUUUUCCAUGUUCCUGAUGUGCUCUGGGAAUCUCAACACAGUUGGCCACGAGCCCAAAUCAAUACAAAGACCAUAAAAUGAGAAGAAAACUCCCACAGAACACAGUGAAUGAAGGUCACCAAAUUAUUUUUGAAUGCAGAAAUAAUAUUAGCAUAGCAUAUUUUCUACAAGACUUCAAGAGCUACAUGGAAUGAUAAUUGGUUUUAAACGACCUUUUUUUCUAGUCUCUUUUGUUGUUGAUUUUGAUGGAAAUCGAUGCAUAAUAGUGUUAAUCCAGCAUGGGCACCUGUUGUCCUUGUAUAUGCUAAUGUGUUUGUAUGGAGCAAAGGCUCUUUUCAUCUACAGGUCACAGCUCAACCACUGUUCAGCUCCAACACUGUGAACCGUGAAGAAC